ensembl:snoRNA
AGCAACUGUGUGUGUUUUGUUGACUUGGUUGACACACAAAGACACAAAAAAACAAGUGCAAAAGUAAAUCCUCAUUUACAACUUUGAACUUUCUGUUCAGUGUGAGUUUUGAUCCAUAUGAAAAGGAAUAUG